AGGGGGGGUUGUUCGGAUUAUUGGGCGUAAGGGCGCGUAGGCGGUGCCACAAGUCACUUGUGAAAUCCCCGGGCUUAAUUCGGGGCCUGCAGGCGAAACUGUGGUGCUGGAGUAUGGGAGAGGUGCGUGGAAUUCCCGGUGUAGCGGUGAAAUGCGCAGAUAUCGGGAGGAACACCGGUGGCGAAGGCGGUUCUCUGGGCCUGUGCUGACGCUGAGGAGCGAAAGCGUGGGGAGCGAACAGGAUUAGAUACCCUGGUAGUCCACGCCGUAAACGUUGGGCGCUAGGUGUGGGUCCCUUCCACGGGGUCUGUGCCGCAGCUAACGCAUUAAGCGCCCCGCCUGGGGAGUACGGCCGCAAGGCUAAAACUCAAAGGAAUUGACGGGGGCCCGCACAAGCGGCGGAGCAUGUUGCUUAAUUCGACGCAACGCGAAGAACCUUACCAAGGUUUGACAUGGACGGAAAUCCUCCAGAGAUGGGGGGUCCUUCGGGGCCGUUCACAGGUGGUGCAUGGCUGUCGUCAGCUCGUGUCGUGAGAUGUUGGGUUAAGUCCCGCAACGAGCGCAACCCUCGUCCCAUGUUGCCAGCGGGUUAUGCCGGGGACUCAUGGGAGACUGCCGGGGUCAACUCGGAGGAAGGUGGGGAUGACGUCAAGUCGUCAUGCCCCUUAUGUCUUGGGCUGCAAACAUGCUACAAUGGUGGUGACAGAGGGCUGCGAGCCUGUGAGGGUGAGCGAAUCCCGGAAAGCCGGUCUCAGUUCGGAUCGGGGUCUGCAACUCGACCCCGUGAAGUCGGAGUCGCUAGUAAUCGCGGAUCAGCAACGCCGCGGUGAAUACGUUCCCGGGCCUUGUACACACCGCCCGUCACGUCACGAAAGUUGGCAACACCCGAAGCCGGUGGCCUAACCCGCAAGGGAGGGAGCUGUCGAAAGUGGGGUCGGCGAUUGGGACGAAGUCGUAACAAGGUAAC
rnacentral:rRNA from 1 species